rnacentral:tRNA from 1 species
UGGGGUAUCGCCAAGUUGGUAAGGCAGUGGAUUCUGAAUCCACCAUGCGUUGGUUCGAGUCCAGCUACCCCAG